CUUUUGGGAAUGACCAUUUACGAUCACGUAAAUAGAUCUCAACACUCAUAUACAAAAAGAAGCACCGAAGCGACUCAAUUUUCAGAUGGUUUUCCCUAGCAAGCGUCGAGAAUCGAGCAUGUUAUGUGAGGUCUGUCUAAUGGUGAGGCCCAGAUACUUCACCUGGAUUCUCAUCUCGACUUCCGCCUCCUCCAACUGUAGGUUAUACCUGGCUUAAGGUGUCCCGUGACAGUCUCUGGUGCAGAUCCACAGGGUUACAACCCUUCUCAGCGGACACAGUCCCAACUCUAGCUUCAACCCUCUAAUUGUGGCGACCACGCCCCGUGUCAUCGGCAUAAUACGUCAGCGCCGUGUCCGAGGGCAUCGGCUUCCGGAGUAUCGUGCCGUAGGUCAGAUCCCAGAAGAGCGACCCUAAAACUGAUUCCUGUGGGACCCCACGAUGCACAGCCGAAUGCAAGUAACCUAGAUAUGAUAUGUCACUCGCAUGGUGUCCGGUCACUUUGUGCGUAACCCGGGAUCCAUCUUUCGGCCGAGGCGGCCACUAGCUGUGCAAAUAUAAUUAGUCGGACCGCAAUAAUCCUAUGGAACUGUAAUGAA